rnacentral:sRNA from 1 species
GGUUGAUUCUUCACCACACUGAAACCAUUAGGAAAAAUCCUUGUGGUUAACAGCAGAGGCUUCAGAGUGUAACCUGUACUCGGGCCUAGAAAUUAUUUAAAAUGGCGACUGAUACGUCUCAAGGUGAACUCGUCCAUCCUAAGGCACUCCCACUUAUAGUAGGAGCUCAGCUGAUCCACGCGGACAAGUUAGGUGAGAAGGUAGAAGAUAGCACCAUGCCGAUUCGUCGAACUGUGAAUUCCACCCGGGAAACUCCUCCCAAAAGCAAGCUUGCUGAAGGGGAGGAAGAAAAGCCAGAACCAGACAUAAGUUCAGAGGAAUCUGUCUCCACUGUAGAAGAACAAGAGAAUGAAACUCCACCUGCUACUUCGAGUGAGGCAGAGCAGCCAAAGGGGGAACCUGAGAAUGAAGAGAAGGAAGAAAAUAAGUCUUCUGAGGAAACCAAAAAGGAGUAAGGAGUUAUGUCUUCUUGCUAUUUAUAUUUGAAGAAUGUGUAAAAGGACUUUAGAUCAGAUUGUUUUGAAGUGUUAUGACAUUGGUUUAUGCUAGGUAUUUGCUAUUUGGAUUUAAUUUUUAGAAUUACCAUUUGAAAUAGGUUUAUCAUAUAGUUGUAUGACCUGUUAGAAUAUGCUGAGUUAGCAGAACACAAUGGUUUGAAUAAUCCAAAAGUCUUUGUCAUUGGCCUUGGAAUGUGUUUUUGAGCUUGUAAUUUAUUGUGGGAGUAUCUGAUAUUUUAAGCAUUGGCAAGACUUCAAUAAGAAAUGAAACAUAACUAUAAAAAUCUGACCUAGAAGACAUUUCACUAUUUUAUUCCUACUUCUGUGCCAGGAGUGGGUUGUUUUUGUGUGCUUAUAUUAGAAGGCAUUAAUCUGUAUCAAGCCAUUGGUAGUGUGACCUAAAAGUCUAUAUAUGUUUGAUGAAGUAUUCAGUUGAAGAAUUGGCUUUGAGAAUCUGAAAGUAAAAUUUGCUGUUGAUGUGUAUCUGUAUAAGGUGAUGGCAGUUACUUUUUAAUUUUUUUUUUUUUUUUUUUGCAGGAGAGCUGGUAGUAUUCAUUCCACUCUUUUCAUAAUUGGUCAGAACAGUUAGAAAUUGCUUUUAACUGUAGUCAUGCAUUGCUUAACAAUGGGUAUACAUUCUGAGAGAUGCAUCUUUAGGCAAUUUCAUCAUUGUGCCAACAUCAUAAAGUGUACUUACACAAACCUACAUGGUACAGCCUACUACAUAACUAGGCUUUGGGAUAGUCUGUUGCUCCUAGGCUACAAACCUGUACAGCAUGUUACUGUACUAAAUACUGUAGGCAGUUAUAACAUAAUGGUAAGUAUUUGUGUAUUUAAACAUAGAGAAGGUACAGUAAAAAUAUAACAUAAAAGAUAAAAAAUGGUAUACCUGUGUAGGACACCUACCAUGAAUGGACCUUAAAAGAAUGGAAGUUGUUUGGGUGAGUGGGUGAGUGGUAAGUGAAUGCAAAGGCCUAGGACUACUGUGUGCAACUUUUAAAAAUAUAAAGUUUUUAUUUUUAAAAACUUUUAAAACUUUACCAAAAACAAAGACACAA